AUCCUUCAGGUUCUGUCAUGUGAUGAGUGGGUCUUCAUGCGCCUGCGUGAGAUGUGCCGUCCCGAAUUGUUACGACGGGGCACAGUACCCUUCUGAU
rnacentral:snoRNA from 1 species